rnacentral:misc_RNA from 1 species
GAUGAAGAACGUAGCGAAAUGCGAUACUUGGUGUGAAUUGCAGAAUCCCGUGAACCAUCGAGUCUUUGAACGCAAGUUGCGCCCGAAGCCACUAGGCCGAGGGCACGCCUGCCUGGGCGUCACACGCCGUUGCCCCCCCAUCUACUCCUUCGGGAUUGCGGGGGGGCGGAUGAUGGCCUCCCGUGCGCCUAGCCGCGCGGUUGGCAUAAAUACCAAGUCCUCGGCGACGCACGCCACGACAAUCGGUGGUUGCGAAACCUCGGUUGCCCGUCGUGUGCGUUCGUCGCGCAUCGAGGGCUCGAAAAAAUGCUCGGCUCCGGCUGGGCUUUCAACGCGACCCCAGGUCAGGCGGGGUUACCCGCUGAAUUUAAGCAUAUCAAAGGGAGGA